AUCUUGCUAGCCAAGAAACAUUUAAGCACUAUAUAUAGUAUUUGAGGGGAAUCUGGUUAGAAUCCAGAACUGUCGCGCAACGGUGUUGUGAAUCUUAUAUUCACUCAGUCCGAUUACCUCUAUUUUUUGCCAAGCCUCGC
rnacentral:ncRNA from 15 species